AUGUACCCGGCCAGUGCUACCAUUACCAAACACAAUAACUUCUAACUAUACAACAAAAUUAACAACAAUAAUGAUGCAACUGGUAAAUUCAACGUAUUUUUAUUCCCUGUUACGUAUUUCCUCUCAGUUCUCCCAUCUCCUUCCAUUAAUUUUAAAAUCUAGUAACAUUUUAUAUCUCCUCUAACUUUACAUUCGCUUCCCUGGAAUCCUCGCUUCACUUCCCCACAUCAGUUACACCACAGCAUCAUUUAUAUAUGUACUUCCUUCUGCCUCCUUGCCUCCUUCCUUCCUCAAUCAGGGCAAAAAUCCGUGCUGGCAACUGUCUCGGAGGGAGGGAGGAGAGAGGGACGUGGUGGAUGAGAAGGAGGAGGGAGGGAGGUAUAUAUGCUGGAUAGCUUUCUACUACACCAUCGACAGUCUUCUUCUCCCAGUGACUUCAUGAGGGUGCGUUUCGUUACUCUUAUACAACUCUGACCUUUACAGCUGAGAGAGAAGAAAAGUAGUGACGUAAGGACAGAAGAAGAAAGAAGAAGAAAGUUACAAAAGGUGACGUAAUACUAAAGACAAUGAAGAUGAAGGAUUAAGAGGAAAAAUAUUGGAAAAUUAUAUAAACGAAACAAAAACACGAGGAAAGUGAAAGCCAAUGAGACAAAAAUGAAAAAAAAAAUAACUGUGAUGAAAACAAGAAAUAUGAUGAAGACAAAACACUGAAAUAAAUAAAUAAAUAGAAUAAAAACAGACAAAA